CCCUUAGAUGUUCUGGGCUGCACGCGUGUUACAAUCGGGAGUCCAACAAGAUUGCAAAUCCUAGUGGAUGAGUGGUUCUUCGAAAUUUUCUGAAGACUGGGAUAGUUGAUUGAAAUUAUUCAACUCGAACGAGGAAUUCCUUGUAAUUGUAAUUCAUUAUAUUGUAAUGAAUACGUCCCUGCCCUUUGUACACACCGCCCGUCGCUCCUACCGAUUGAACGAUCCGGUGAAUUAUUUGGAGUAGCUCUGGAAGUUGCAGAACUUCCUAUGUCACGAAAUUUUGUAAACCUUAUCGUUUAGAGGAAGGAAAAGUCGUAACA
rnacentral:rRNA from 1 species